UACAGCCAUAUCGCCUUGAAAUACCAUUUCUCGUACGAUCGCUGAAGUAAAGCAACGUCGAGCCUGGUCAGUACCUAGAUCGGUGACCGUUUGGUAUUACCACCUGCUGUAAG